rnacentral:rRNA from 1 species
AUAACGACUCUCGGCAACGGAUAUCUCGGCUCUUGCAUCGAUGAAGAACGUAGCGAAAUGCGAUACUUGGUGUGAAUUGCAGAAUCCCGUGAACCAUCGAGUCUUUGAACGCAAGUUGCGCCCGAAGCCCUUAGGCUGAGGGCACGCCUGCCUGGGUGUCACCG